rnacentral:tRNA from 1 species
AGAAACUUAGGUUAAUAUUAAACCAAGGACCUUCAAAGCCCUAAAAAAGGACACACCCCUUAGUUUCUG